GCUACCACGACGUUGCUGCCUCUUUUCAAAUCGCCUGGCAGUCUGGACUCUUGCUUGUGUGUUAGUCCCCGGGAAAUGGGAUUCGACUUGUUUAGAGUGGUCAGUAAGUACAAGACUACAGUCCUAACCUAACAACACGUUAGUUGAGCUGUGGUUUGGGACUUUAGUUAAAACGUGGUCUCUGCUAGCGUCAACUGUUAACGUUAGCAUUGUCGUGACGGGCCUCAAGCAGCCACGUGGAUCCUGCGUGAAGCCCACUCAAAGAUGAAAAAGAGACAAAGUGGAUGUCACUCUGCAAGUGUUGCACUUGAUAAAUGGGGUAUCUUGAUGUCCCUGCAAGACUGGUCAGAAGACUGGGUCUCAUCAAGAUGAUGGAAAGUCAAGAUGGAGACUUGUGAGCUGCCAUAGGAUGUUACGCUUCAUAUGGUCCUAACAGCUGACUGAAGAGGAUUCAUUUGAAGCAGCUGAAAAGACUUGUGAGCUGCAAAAGAGAGAUGUCGCCAUGCAGUGCUUUGUAUGCUCCAAACUAAACCAGCUGACUGAAGACCUUCACUUCGUGCAGGUUGGCCUGGUGGCAUAAGACUUCUCCUGAAAGUGACUUGUGGGGUACAGCUACACCUCUUGAGAUGGACCUUGUGUCAUUCUGCCAGUCUGCUGCAGUCCCCUGAAGUCUGAUUGAAUUGACAGAAUUGGAUCAAGUGGUCGUGGCAACUGUCAGUAUACCGGCAAGUUACAUGUGAUGACAAGAUGACUCAUGGACAAUGGUCUCAAGAUGGAUGUCAACAUGUUUGUUAAAGUAUUUUACACUGUACAAUGCAGGCUGGUUAAAUGUUAUGAUUGCAAUAAAGUGUCUAAGCAGCCUGAUAACUGAAA